UCUGCUUUUGGCUUCCGCGAGUACAUGAAACACUAUACCUAUCCAGAAAAAGUUGGAGUCCAUUCUAUACUUCUAAAGUCACAAUUAGUUCUUGAAUUUACUUAAGGGUCAUCGUUUAUGUGGGUGACAAGAAGGCUGAUGGAGGUUUGUUUGCAAGAACAAGCUUCAACUUCAUCUUGUGAUAAAAUGCCAUCUAUUUGUGAAGGAUCUCAUGUUUGUUUGCAAGAACAGCCUUUAGCCUCAUUUUGCAAUGAAAUACCAUCUAUUUGUGAAGGCUCUGAUGUAAGUUGAUAACUAAUGUAUAAUUAAAUUGCUUCCUUAUAUACAUUUAAAAUGUUCUAUAAAGUAAUUUUUUGGUAAAAGGAAUGUAAUUAAUUUCAUCAAUAGUUGCAAAUUCUCUAUGUAAAUUUCAGUUUUGUUUGCAAAAACAACCUUUAGAUUCAUCUUGCAACCAAAUUGUAAUUAAUUUUAAUUAAUUUCAUCAGCAUUUGUGAAGGCUGUGAUAUAAGUUGAUAAUUUGUGUUAUUAAAUUGCUCAUGAUUAUGGAGAUAAUCGAUCCCUUGAAAAGCUGGAAAUAAAUUUUAAAAAUCUAUUUUUAAGUGAAAUA